AUGGUUAGCUUGCUAACAGGCGUCGAGUGGCGGAACGGGUGAGUAACGCGUAGGAAUCGUACCAAAUAGCCGGGGGAUAGCCCGGAGAAAUCCGGAUUAAUACCGCAUAAUCUCUACGGAGUAAAGGGGGCCUCUAUUUAGUAAGCUUUUCACUAUUUGAUGAGCCUGCGUAAGAUUAGCUUGUUGGUGAGGUAAAAACUCACCAAGGCGACGAUCUUCAGCUGGUCUGAGAGGAUGAUCAGCCACACUGGGACUGAGACACGGCCCAGACUCC
rnacentral:rRNA from 1 species